CCUGACCUCGAUCGAGCGGAUCUAGGUGUUUUG
rnacentral:rRNA from 1 species